rnacentral:piRNA from 1 species
UGUUCCAUGUAUCGAUGAUCAGAAGUU